rnacentral:rRNA from 1 species
AACGAACGCUGGCGGCAGGCCUAACACAUGCAAGUCGAGCGAGCAUUUCGGUGCUAGCGGCGGACGGGUGAGUAACGCGUGGGAACGUGCCCUUUUCUGCGGAAUAGUCCUGGGAAACUGGGGGUAAUACCGCAUACGCCCCUUUGGGGAAAGAUUUAUCGGAGAAGGAUCGGCCCGCGUUGGAUUAGGUAGUUGGUGGGGUAAUGGCCCACCAAGCCGACGAUCCAUAGCUGGUUUGAGAGGAUGAUCAGCCACACUGGGACUGAGACACGGCCCAGACUCCUACGGGAGGCAGCAGUGGGGAAUCUUAGACAAUGGGGGCAACCCUGAUCUAGCCAUGCCGCGUGAGUGAUGAAGGCCUUAGGGUUGUAAAGCUCUUUCAGCUGGGAAGAUAAUGACGGUACCAGCAGAAGAAGCCCCGGCUAACUCCGUG